UUAAAGCAAAAAAAAAGGUCGCUUUAAAAACAAUUUGAAAAGCACUGCUUCAGACUGGAUUACUGUAAUGCAUUACUAGGUGUUUGUCCUGCAUCCUCGAUGAAAAAGUUACAGUUAAUCCAAAAUGCAGCUGCUAGAAUUCUUACCAGUCAUCAUUCAGGUUGGAUUUCAGCUUUAAUGUAUGUUUUUUUAACAAAGUCAAGUCACCUUUAUUUAUACAGCGCUUUUUACAAUGUAGAUUGUGUCAAAGCAGCUUUACAUUGAUAACUGGUACAUUGUUUGGCUGCACAGCAGCUCUUAAAGAAUAGUGUCAAUGCAGGCAGAUCAAAAGCACUGUUGAAUAUCAAAAUGUCAAGUCAAGUGUCCCCAACUAAGCAAGCCAGAGGCGACAGCGGCAAGGAACCCAAACUCCAUCAGGUGACAUCAGGUGGCAGACAAGUGGCAAAUAGGUGUUUAAAUGGAGAAAAAAACCUUGGGAGAAACCAGGCUUAGUCGGGGGGCCAGUUCUCCUCUGGCCAACAGUGCUUUGUUACGAUUCAGGUAGCUAUCAUAAGUCCGACAGGAUCGCAACAUUCAAAGUAUUUAUUUCAGUUCCAUCCAAUUAAG